UUCCGGUUGAUCCUGCCGGAGGCUACUGCUAUCGGGAUUCGAUUAAGCCAUGCGAGUCGAGAGGGUUCGGCCCUCGGCUGACGGCUCAGUAACACGUGGAUAACCUGCCCUCAGGUAGGGGAUAAUCUCGGGAAACUGAGGAUAAUACCCUAUAGAUAUCCUUUGCUGGAAUGCUUGGAUGUUCAAAGGCGACGCCUGAGGAUGGGUCUGCGGCCUAUCAGGUUGUAGUGGGUGUAAUGGACCCACUAGCCAGCGACGGGUACGGGCCUUGAAAGAGGUAGCCCGGAGAUGGACUCUGAGACACGAGUCCAGGCCCUACGGGGCGCAGCAGGCGCGAAAACUUCACACUGUGCGAAAGCGCGAUGAGGGAAUCCCAAGUGCUUGCUCGUAAGAGUAAGCUGUUUUUAUGUUUAAAACGCAUAGAGAGUAAGAGCUGGGUAAGACGGGCGCCAGCCGCCGCGGUAAUACCUGCAGCUCGAGUGGUGGCCGCUAUUAUUGGGCCUAAAACGUCCGUAGCCGGUUCAAUAAAUGCCUGGGUAAAUCGUGUAGCUCAACUAUACGAAUUCCGGGUAGACUGUUAAACUUGGGACUGGGAGAAGCUAGAGGUACUCCUGGGGUAGAGGUGAAAUUCUGUAAUCCUAGGGGGACCACCAGUGGCGAAGGCGUCUAGCUAAAACGGGUCUGACGGUGAGGGACGAAGCCCUGGGGCGCAAACCGGAUUAGAUACCCGGGUAGUCCAGGGUGUAAACGCUGCUUGCUUGAUGUUAGUCGGGCUCCGAGCCCGAUUAGUGUCGGAGAGAAGUUGUUAAGCAAGCUGCCUGGGAAGUACGGCCGCAAGACUGAAACUUAAAGGAAUUGGCGGGGGAGCACAGCAACGGGUGGAGCGUGCGGUUUAAUUGGAAUCAACGCCGUAAUC
rnacentral:rRNA from 1 species